rnacentral:tRNA from 1 species
GUUUACUUAGUAUUGUUUGUUUGGAUCUUCCCAUUGAAGCGAAAGGUACUGGGUUCGAGUCCCAGAGUGAAC